rnacentral:rRNA from 1 species
AUUGAACGCUGGCGGCAGGCUUAACACAUGCAAGUCGAGCGAGCGGCGGACGGGUGAGUAAUGUCUGGGAAACUGCCUGAUGGAGGGGGAUAACUAUUGGUAACGGUAGCUAAUACCGCAUACCAUCAGAUGUGCCCAAAUGGGAUUAGCUAGUAGGUGGGGUAAUGGCUCACCUAGGAGACGAUCUCUAGCUGGUCUGAGAGGAUGACCAGCCACACUUGAAACGAGAGACGGACCAGAUUCCUACGGGAGGCAGCAGUGGGGAAUAUUGCACAAUGGGGGCAAGCCUGAUGCAGCCAUGCCGCGUGAGUGAAGAAGGCCUUCGGGUUGUAAAGCACUGUCGGCGGGGAGGCGUUACUCGCAGAAGAAGCACCGGCUAACUCCGUGCCAGCAGCCGCGGUAAUAC